rnacentral:rRNA from 1 species
UACUCUCCAUAAAACAGGGAUUCCGCAUGGGGCUAUUUGUUAAAGAUUUAUUGGUUGCGGAUGGGCAUGCGUACCAUUAGGUAGUUGGUGAGGUAACGGCUCACCAAGCCAUCGAUGGUUAGGGGUUCUGAGAGGAAGGUCCCCCACACUGGUACUGAGACACGGACCAGACUCCUACGGGAGGCAGCAGUGAGGAAUAUUGGUCAAUGGGCGAGAGCCUGAACCAGCCAAGUCGCGUGAAGGAUGACUGCCCUAUGGGUUGUAAAGUUCUUUUACAGGGGAAUAAAAUGAGAUACCUGUAUUUUAUUGCAUGUACCUUGUGAAUAAGCAUCGGCUAACUCCGUGCCAGCAGCCGCGGUAAUACGGAGGAUGCGAGCGUUAUCCGGAUUUAUUGGGUUUAAAGGGUGCGUAGGUGGGCUGUUAAGUCCGCGGUGAAAGUUUGUCGCUUAACGAUAAAAUUGCCGUUGAAACUGGUAGUCUUGAGUAUAGAUGAAGUAGGCGGAAUGCGUGGUGUAGCGGUGAAAUGCAUAGAGAUCACGC